UACAGAGGGUGCGAGCGUUUAAUCGGAAUUACUGGGCGUAAAGCGUGCGUAGACGGUAGCGUAAGUCAGAUGUGAAAGCCCCCGGGCUCAACCUGGGAAUUGCAUUUGAGACUGCUCUGCUCGGGUGCGGAAGAGGGAAGCGGAAUUUCCGGUGUAGCGGUGAAAUGCGUAGAUAUCGGAAGGAACACCAGUGGCGAAAGCGGCUUCCUGGUCCGACACCGACGUUCAGGCACGAAAAGCGUGGGGGAGCAAAACAGG
rnacentral:rRNA from 1 species